UUGUUUCCCACCUUUAGACGUAUCAGAGGAGUAUGCCAACUAAAAAUGUCACUGUGACAGUGGCAUUUCUCAAAUUCGUCCGAUACGUCUAAAGGUGGGAAAUAAUCAAUAUAAUGUCAAUCUAUAAGUUACUAUCGCUAAAUUUAACAACUCCACAAGGUUCAUCUCUUUUUAUCUCACAACUUAAUUAUGUUUUCCAUCUUUUGCGUUAUUUUGUCGGUUAUUAGUGCGUUAUUACUGUAGAGUAUAAUUAUAAUUUACUACUUGAUGCCAUAUAGUGCUAGUCUAAAGUCCGUACCCCUCUCGUAUCUUUUGAACGGUUAUACCUAUAAUAGUGAAAUUUGGUGGGAGCAAAUAAACAGACGUAAGCUUUUUAACUAGUCAUAACAGGUGACGUAAUUAUGACAGAUGACUGUACAGAGCCACUGUGACAGAUAAUUUUAAAUGGGACCUUAUGGCAAGUGAUACCUCGUUUGAAAGGUAUUGAAAACACCUAUUCAGGCAUACUAAUUUUGUUUGAGUUUAAGCUAAUUCUGAUGAAUAAAUGAAAUAAAUAUAAAAUUGUAGUUUCGCAUUUAAUUCAUAAAAAUUCGACCCCCUUGUAACGGUCACAUUACGAAAUUAGAUCUUUAAUUAUUUUUAUAAGUAUUUCCCCUCGGUCUCUCAUUUGAUUUCUUUCAACUUCUCUAAUUUUCUCGUAAAUAAAUAUUUACGUGACGUCACACUUCAGAGUAUGGAACAUACUCUACACCUCGGGUAAUAAUUUGAUUCGUGUGCUGACAAUUUGACGUUUUGCUCUGUGAAGUGGCGAGACGAGAGACUUCACUUGUGGUUGGGAAUUUGGUUAGUAUGGAUGGCGGGUGAGGAUCAAAUUUGGAGGUUAGACCUCGUGUUAAUAAAAAUGUGUGACUUUUGAAUUAUGGAUCACCAAACCUAUCUAGGAGUGUUUGGGAAUACAGAAGGUAUUAAUCCAAUGGGGUUUACAGCAUAACAUCAUCGUAUCACACGCCAUCCAUGUGAAAUCUUAAAUAACACCUCGAAACACCAAGAGGCCAAACUCCAACCAUAAGUCACUGGGAGUAGUUACUUGGGGAACAAGCCUUUUGGGGGCAUUCCAGCUCCUUUUCGUAUUAGCACUUGGACCUACAGGAGGCAUGAUUUUUGCACUAUCCUAGUGCUCAUUUCCGGGGAUGCGCCAGCAACCUAUUUAGGAGUCGUUCGAGUUUGUUUGAGAACUACCAGUGGGUGACAUUAGUAACUAUUGUGUGUUUAUCUCCUGUUUUAUUUUAAUGCACUGUUUAUUAAUUUUGUUUCAGAUUUAGUUUACCUAUUUAUAUAACAUAUUUGUAUAUUAUGGUAUUAAGUUCCCAAACUCAUGUAUCAUUUUGCGGUACUGUACGUUGAGCUCUGCGUAUUUGCCCAAAAGUUAUUACUUCUAAUAUUUUAUUGUUUAUUUAGGUCGAUUUCAUGUCAUUAUGUAAAUUUAGGUUGUACUAUUUGCUUGUUUCCCAAAUAUGUUAUUUAUUCGCUUUAUUUCAUUUGUUCAGUUAAUUCGUCGCUACUUUAUUUUAUUGCAUUUGCUCGGGUAAUUUAGGUCAUCGUUUGGGUAUUUAUCUUAGCUUCAUUUUUAUAACUUUUAUUAAUGCAUUUGCUUAAUUCAUCAUGGUAUUUUCUCUUCGCCAGGCUUGUGCCUAUUUAUUUAUAUUACUUUUAAUAUUUCGGGUUUUAAUUCAGUUGUACGUAGCAAGCGUACUAUAACCAUUGGGUAGAAAUCUCAUGUGAGUUGUACCCUAUAUGUAAGUGAGAGGCACUUAGGUAAUUUUGUAACAGAUAACAUUAUUGUAGUUAUCUCAAAUAUAACUAUGUAAAACUUGUGAUUGUAUAGUCACAGUAUAUGCUUUAUAUAACUCAGAUAUUGUCAAAGAUCUAGUAGUUAUUUUUAAUAAAUAUUUAUUUAUUUUGUAUAUAUCAUUUAUUUUUAUUAUUCCUUUAUGUUCAUUAUUACAGAUUUAAUUUAUUUAAUAUUUAACAGCAGUGUAAGAUACCUGGGAAAGUGAUCGAAGAUCAUUUUCUUGGCGCCCAUGAUUUGUUAGUUUUAUUUAUUUUGAUCGUCUUUAGAAAUCAUUCAUCUUCAUUAAUUUUUAGUAUAUUAUUCUUAUUUUAUUAUUUCACCUUUUAGUCAUCAUUAUUAUUAACUUAGAGCUACUGUUCUUCGACAGGCAUGCAAACGAGCCGUAUCCAUCCUUGAGUGUCAAGUUGUUCUCUUGCAUCUCUUGCUAGCCAACUCUAUUUAGUUUGCCUCUGUCUCUUCCCAUUCCUACGUCUAUCCCUUUUAAUUCCCGUUUCUUCAGUACUACUGCACUUUAGUAGUAAUUUUUCAUACUUCGGCUUCGACGCUGAAGCCCCUUCAUUUUUAUUUUCAUAAUAGCCACAACUAUUAGUUAUCUAGUUUUCUUACUUCUGUUGGAGUAUAUCCUUCUUUUUACUUUCACUCCAACAGAAGUUUUCUUAUUUUUGUUACAUUGGCGCCCAACGUGGGGCCAACCGUUUAUGGUUCUAAGACAGUAGUCCUUUUAGUUCAUUUCUUUUUUCUUUUAUGGAAUUUUCUGUAUUAUUACCUUUUUGAUAUCUUUGUAUACAUGUUAUUUCUGAUUUAUUUUUGUCGUUAAAUUUUUUAUUAAUACUAAACAGGUAGACUUAUACUGCUUUUCUUUGUUUAUGAUUAGUUUAUUUUCGAUACCUCAUUUUUUAUUAGGUUUAGUGGUACAGCUCAUAUUGUAGUUUGAAUUUUGUAUUUUUAUUGGAAACUUAUUUAUGUAUUUAGACUGAGUAUACAUAACUGACUUAUGUUCUAUUAUGAUAAAUUUUUAUUCCUUUUACCAAUGGUAGUAUGUUUGCUCGUACAAUUAAUCGGUGACUAUAUGCACAUAUUUUUUUUCUAAUAUGGUUAUAUUUUAUACAUAACUAGAAAUCAUUUUCAGUAUUUAGGUACUUUAUUUACUUUAUUGAUUUGAUUUUUUAUAUAUUUUGCUGGCAUUUUUGAUUUGUUGGUGUGUCGCUAAUAUUUUCUCCAUAUGUAUAUUUGUCUUACAAACUUUAGAUUAUAUUUUAUAUUUGUUAUUUUUGAUAUUUGGGUUGUUUGGUAAGACAGGCACACACCACAAAGUAAUAUCAGUCCAGAACAUUAGCUUCUAUACAUGAUACGUUGAGUUCGCAUGGUUCGGAUGAUUACAGAUGGUCAUCUAACUUUAUUUUUCUUUAAUUGGUAGUGUUAAACAUAACAAUUUUAAUUAUUGUAUGGUAAAGUAGUUCCAUUAUCCAUCUCACCUUCUAGUUUGUUAAUUUUGAUAAUAAUAUUAUAUUAAUGUGGGUACCAUAAUAUAAUCCUUAUAUAAAUCAGAUACUUUAGGUUGAGAUUCAAAUAUAAAUUCGUUAUUAGUUAGGAAACAUUGAUACUAUUUUUCAAUUAAGUUAUAGAAUAAUCUUCAGAAGAAGAUUACCUUAACAGUGUUGUUCAAGCUAAUCUCUUCUUCUGUUUGUCUUUAGCUUAGCUCAAUCUUUAGUAUGGUUAGAAAUUUUAGUCUGAUAUUUUUUAUCAUCCGAUAAUGCAGGUACCUACAUACAUUGCUUGAUUUCAUCUUUGGCUUUGUUGUUGAUGACUUUAUUUAUGAAUUUAUUACUUAUUAGUUUAAUUAUUAGUAGUACUUUAUGUAUGAGUUUAUUUUUUUUGUAUUAUACAUGAUGCAUUUUAAUUAUUAGUAUGAGUCAAUAUUAUUCAUUGCUGAUCCUGUCAGUAGGAUUACACAAUUAAUAAUAAGUUCACUUGUAUUUUUGUUUAGUUUUGCACACCUAACCCCUAAGUUAGUAGGGUUGUUAACUUAUUAUAUAUUUAUAUAGUUGGAUAGGAGAGCUCAUACAAGUACUCUUGUUUAAUAUGGAUAUUAUGAUGGAACUAUGUUACACUAUCAUAUCUCAGGUUAUGUGUUAUAUUAUUUUGAAUAUUUGAUUACUUAUUAAUUUUUAUUAUUUUUUAUAUCUUGUUAUUGGAUUUGCCAUAUUGGAAAGAUGUGGUUUUUAUUUUUUAUUAGGUUACUCUAUUGACACUUGUCUCCAAUAUUUUAAAUAUUUUAUAAUAAUUCAGACCCUUAUUUCCUAUACAGUAUGAUUCUGGAAUUAGUUUGGAAUUUUGAUGUAUGUAUGAAUUCUUGAGUCUUUCAUAUUUCUUCUUAGAAACUAGUCUGUUGAUGCUCAAAGUUGGUGAAUACGUGGGUUCGAAGUUCAGCAAGGCGCCAUUGCUAUCCAAUUUCGCAAUCUAUGUUUUUCAUUGCAGAGUAGACAGAUGUUAAUCUAUCAUAAUAUUUCUUGUCAGGAAAUGUCUGCAGCAGGUCCUAACCAUUCUAGUGUUAGUCCAAUUAUUCCAGUUAUAUUUUUACCAUUUGAUAGGGAAGUGUUUAGUUUAUAUUAUGUCUCGUACUUCAUAGUAUGUCUGUUUUUUGACUAUCCCUAUACACAGUAGAUCCCUUAAUUUAGUAUUUGAGGUGUUUAGACAAAUGAGUUGUUCAUUUGAGUAUAUUCCCACUUCUUUCCUUAGGCAUUAGUUUUGCUAUUGAGAUUCAGGAAUAUAUUCCUGGAUAAUUCUAUGUAUGCGAGAACGCAUAAAUCUACAGUUUUAUUCAAAAUUGGUUGCUCAUUCUCGUCACAUAUUUUUUUCCUAUCACUUAUCAUAGUGCCAUAGAACUUGUAAGUUCACCAUUCCAUUCUGUUUUCUUUCUUACUUAUUCUUACGUUAUUAGUACUUUAUCUGAGUCUGGUUAUUCUCAUACAUCUGUUGUAGCAACAUGCUAUAGUUCGCGAAUACCAGCACGAAUUAAGUUUAUGUAGUUUCUAUAAUAUUUUAGUCAAUACACUAUAGGUAUUUAUCAUACCUUUGAUUUAGUUUGGUUACAUCUCUGUUACUUAGUCUGUUAGUAAUUUUUUUUCUGACUUAUUUUGGAUUAGUUAGUUUGGAUAGGUUCAUAUUACCGGAUGAGGGUGUAUGUAGACCUAAUUUAUUUAUUUUGUUCAGUAUUAGUUACCAUUGGAUCCAAUAAUUUAGUUUAUUUAGCAUUAGUAAGAAUUGGUCCAUAAAUUUGCCUGAUCGUUCUUCUUUGGAUAUGCUCUUAUAUAAAUCUGGUGUCCAUUGAUAGUCCGAUUCUGGAUAAGUGUCCGAUUCUUCAUUUAUUUUGUGUAUUUGGUUGGAUAGGUUCGUAUUACCGGAUGUGGGUGUACGUAGACCUGAUCUGUUUAUGUGGUUUAGUAUUGGUGUGAAUUGGUCCAUAAAUCUUCCUGGUCGUUCUUCUUUGGAUAUGCUAUUAUGAAUCUGGUGUCCACUGAGAGUCUGACUUUGGAUUAAGUGUCCGAUGUCACAUCUAUUUUGGUUAUUGAGAUUUGGAUUCCUUUGGUAUGGUUAUUAUUGGUAUUAUUUGGCAUUUGUGAGAAUUGUUCCAUAAAUCUUCCUGACUGUUCUUCUCUGGAUAUACUAUUAUGAAUCGGGUGUCCAUUGUUAGUUCAAUUUUGGAUUAAGUGUUCAAUUCUUUACUUACUUUAGUUACUGAUUUUUUUUUAAUUCACUUUGGUAUAUUUACUCUUGAUAUGGUUCGAAUUGGCUCACACCUUUUCCGGGUUGUUCCGUCCUUGGAUAUACCCUUUAUAAAUCUGAUGUCCAUGGAUAGUUCAAUUUUGGUUUUAGUGCCAAAUUCGACACUUAGUUAUUAUUAUGAACUUUAGUACAAUAUUUAGUUUUGUUUUGACUUUUAAGCAAUAUUAUGUCAAUAUUUGGUAGCAGAGAGUAACAUAGUAACAUUUUAGUGUGAAUUUGAGUCAUAUAUUAAUUUAUUUUUCCUUGAACAUUAAUUUAUGCUUAUUGGUAAUCUUGCGAAUCAACGUGGAUUGUUAGACUAUGUAUUGCAAAGUUAGUUGUUAUUAUUUUGAAGUUUAGGAAAAAAAAAUUUAUUGAUAAAAUUUUUUUCCCGAGUAGAAGUGGAUUGUAACGGUCACGUUACGAAAUUAGAUCUUUAAUUAUUUUUAUAAUUAUUUCCCCUCGGUCUCUCAUUUGAUUUCUUUCAACUUCUCUAAUUUUCUCGUAAAUAAAUAUUUACGUGACGUCACACUUCAGAGUAUGGAACAUACUCUACACCUCGGGUAAUAAUUUGAUUCGUGUGCUGAGAAUUUGACGUUUUGCUCUGUGAAGUGGCGAGACGAGAGACUUCACUUGUGGUUGGGAAUUUGGUUAGUAUGGAUGGCGGGUGAGGAUCAAAUUUGGAGGUUAGACCUCGUGUUAAUAAAAAUGUGUGACUUUUGAAUUAUGGAUCACCAAACCUAUCUAGGAGUGUUUGGGAAUACAGAAGGUAUUAAUCCAAUGGGGUUUACAGCAUAACAUCAUCUUAUCACACGCCAUCCAUGUGAAAUCUUAAAUAACACCUCGAAACACCAAGAGGCCAAUCUCCAACCAUAAGUCACUGGGAGUAGUUACUUGGGGAACAAGCUUUUUGGGGGAAUUCCAGCUCCUUUUCGUAUUAGCACUUGGACCUACAGGAGGCAUGAUUUUUGCACUAUCCUAGUGCUCAUUUCCGGGGAUGCGCCAGCAACCUAUUUAGGAGUCGUUCGGGUUUGUUUGGGAACUACCAGUGGGUGACAUUAGUAACUAUUGUGUGUUUAUCUCCUAUGAUUUAUUUUAAUGCACUGUUUAUUAAUUUUGUUUCAGAUUUAGUUUACCUAUUUUUAUAACAUAUUUGUAUAUUAUGGUAUUAAGUUCCCAAACUCAUAUAUCAUUUUGCGGUACUGUACGUUGAGCUCUGCAUAUUUGCCCAAAAGGUAUUAUUUCUAAUAUUUUAUUAACGUAAAGACUGAAAAAGUUUUGUACACACUUAUGACAACAGGUAAAAGGGGGAGAAGUGUACUUUUGAAGUGUGUAAAAUUAAUAAUUCUUAGCUGAGCGCUUUCGGCUUAUAAAGCCAUCUUCGGAGCUAUGCUACAAUAAAAGAUCUCUAAUGAAUAAUUGAUCUUAGAAUUCAAAGUUUAACUUACGUCAAAAAGGUCAAAAUACCACUAUGAAGAGAGAUGGGUUCCAUUUAUGAUAUGAAAUACUUCUGUUUCUUAUGUAGUUUUUUAUUGGUUGGAAAAAACCUUGUCUGUCUGUUUAAAAAAUUGUUCAAUUUGCCGUUGGUUGUUUUUGUAUCCAGAAAAGUUAAACAUCAAGAACGAGCACAAUGGACUUUCACACGAAAAUUACAUUAUAUAUAAAACGAAUAUUUGAUCAUGGUAAGGUCAAAAAGACCUUACCAUUUGAAUACUGCGGUGUCAGAUAGCAGAAUGGUCGCCUCGCAUGGAGGAUUUUUAAUGACAGUCGAUGUAGACAGGGUGUGCUCGUUAAGGUGUCUUCACAUUUUCUCAUAUAAAGUGACAGUUGACAUAUGACAUUUUUAGCAAUUGGAUUGAACAACUUUUCAACAAAGUCUGUAGUUACAUAAAUCUGGUUUUUUAAAAAUAAUGAAAUACAUAUUGAAAAGAGACUUAAGGUCUAGGAUAAACCAAUUGACAAGUUAUCCUUCACAAACCAAACUCGAAUCGGUUUUGAAAAUUAAUACAUGAUGUAAAGAAACUUGAUGGUGAAGUUUUUUAGGAAGAUGGGAAAUAA
rnacentral:lncRNA from 1 species